rnacentral:rRNA from 1 species
UCCAGGCCCUACGGGGCGCAGCAGGCGCGAAACCUCUGCAAUGCGGGAAACCGUGACAGGGGGAUCCCAAGUGCUCAUGCAUUGCAUGGGCUGUUCUUUGGUCUAAGUAACCAGAGGAGUAAGGGCUGGGCAAGACCGGUGCCAGCCGCCGCGGUAAUACCGGCAGCUCGAGUGGUAGCCGCGAUUAUUGGGCCUAAAGCGUUCGUAGCCGGAUAAGUAAGUCUUUGGUUAAAUCCUGCGACUUAACCGUGGGAAAUCUAGAGAUACUGCUUGUCUUGAGACCGGGAGAGGUUGGAGGUACUCCUAGGGUAGGGGUGAAAUCCUGUAAUCCUAGGGGGACCACCUGUGGCGAAGGCGUCCAACUGGAACGGGUCUGACGGUGAGGGACGAAACCUAGGGGAGCGAGCCGGAUUAGAUACCCGGGUAGUCCUAGGCGUAAAUGAUGCGAGUUAAGUGUGGGGGCAUCUACAAGAUGGCCCUGUGCUGUAGGGUAGCCGUUAAACUCGCCGCCUGGGGAGUACGGUCGCAAGGCUGAAACUUAAAGGAAUUGGCGGGGGAGCACCACAAGAGGUGGAGGCUGCGGUUCAAUUGGAUUCAACGCCGGA